UUCUCGUCUCUGUAUUUCCUAAUUUUCAUCUAUACGAAUGUAGUUUCUGUUGGAAAUUUUGAAUCCAAAUUUUUGGCGAUUUUCUGAUUUCUUAUUAGUUUGUUGUGAAUAUUUUUACUCGCAUGUUCUACCUUUAGAUGCCUCGGGACUAAUUAAAAUUCAAUAGGGAACUCUGUUAGUUUCAUUUGAUCAUGAUUCUAAAUUUCAAGAUGGAGCCUGUUAUAUUGAGAUUUUAGGAGUUCGUUUUCAUUUGUUAUCAGAGAAUGUUAAGCUUUGCUCAUUAUUGGAGAUGCUGAAUUGAAGAAAUUGUGGCUUUGUUAUACCACAAAAGACAUAUGCUCUCAUGCACGAUGGUGCCCAGAAUUUUUUGCCCUUUCUUCACUGGUAUUACACCCAUUACUUCUGAAUUCUUUGAAUAUUUGUGCCUUUUUGCUUUAAUUUUAGUUUUUUAGUCUUUCAGAUAAUCUCCUGCUAGAUAUAUACAUUAUGCCUGAGUUGCACAACAUCCCAUUUAGUGUCUUUUCCCCACUUUUUUAUCUUAUUAUCUGCUCUUUAAGUUUGCAACUCAUUCUACUUAAUCCUAAGAUACUUGCAAUACUGCGGAGGAUACAGCUUUUUGUAACUGAACCAUCUGUUCACUUCUAUAAUAUAGAAAAGAACGUUCUUCUUCGCUUUUGUGUUGCGGUCCAUGAAGGCAAAUGGAUAAAAGCUCAAAUCUUUGCAAAAAAACUUGUUGCUUGGGUUUUCAGGUUUGUUGAUGUCGCCUGCCAAAUUGCCUAUGAAUUCUUGUAGAGAAGACUAGAAGUGCACAUGUUUGCAAGUUCUCAAAUUAGCUAUUUGAAUUGGAUGCUUAGUUCAUCAAAGUCGACAGUUGGAAGAGUAUUUGAUGUGGUGUAUAUUACGGAGAGCGUCAUUUGGAGUACACCUAAUAUGAAUCCCAAUAUACUUGGAAUCUACAAUGAUCCUGGAAAAUAAAGCUUACAUCUAUAUUACUGUCUGCUAUGAUAAGACCAUAGAAGAAUGACACAACAACACUUAAAGUGAGAAUAAUCGAUUGAAGUAAUAGCAUGUGUUCGACACUUUUUUUUAAUAACCAUCACUUGGAGAAACAGGUGAACUAAAAAUACUAUUUCUGUAAUUUUUCACUACUUUCUUCAUUUUUCGUCCCCGCACCCCAAAAAAGUCCUACUAUCAACCAGAGGAGGUAAGUUAUAUAGCCCGUUUUAAAGGUUAUAACAUUAGUUUCAAAGUUAUUACAUUUAUUUUUUUCCUUAACUUGAUAAUGCAAAAUGUAUAUUUCUAUGCACAAGCCAACGCAAUAUAUAGGAGAUAAAAGAAGAAAGGGAGUGUUCUGGAUCUCUGUUGUUUCUUGACAAACUUAUAUGUGAUCUUCAUUAUCAAGUGCUUUUAACAUUGUUGAAAAGGGAAAGAUGUCUCUAAAAGUAGUAGCAUAGUCCUCAUGACCAUCCACCAACAGGCUGCACAAAGCUGGUCUGUGAGGUGCAAAAUCCGCUUUUCUUAGCAAUAGCUGGGAGAACUACAACAACCUUGUAAGAAAGGUUGAUCUUUUUUUCUCGAUUUUCAACUAAUGUGACUUUUUCAGUUAUGUGUAUUGCUUUUUCUGGUUAUAAGAUAUUUAAAUAUGUUCUUCAUAAAAAGGUCAGUGAUUUAUCUGCCUUUUGUUGAUCCAAAAGAACAAGAAAUUGCUUACGUUUGUUCAAAAAGUUGAUGGAGAAUGUGGUCCCUAAUUUUUUUUAAGAAGAGUCUCUACUUGAGAGGGAUUACCGACCUUUGAUUUUGCUCGAUUUCAUAGCCAUAUUUUACUUCUUAAGUUCUCUAGGCUUUAUACAUUUUUCAUUUUAUUUUGACGUUUUUGGAUAAUAUUUAUUCAUAUUGAAUUUUUCUCUUCAUGUUUUAUUGGUAGACUUUAUACUUGCAUUUUGAAUGUGUGUUCAAAUGCUUUUAUGAGAUCUGAAUCUGAAGGAAGAACUUUACACAACCAAGGUGUUUGAUGAAAUCUCCCCAUAACAACCUACUUAUGAGAUAUGAGUAUUCAGAAUCUUUUCGUUGGGCAGUUUUUCAAUUGCUUUUUUCCCUUCUCAGUGUGUAAUCUUGAGCUUAACGUUGUCUAAUACUCAUAUUUUUAGAUGUAAUUGAGGAUUCUCAGAAUAACUCUUGGGAUUUUCUCUUUUGCUAAUUUGGAGAAUAACAACAGAUAUGUCUAUUAUGUCUGCUUCUCUUCUUCCCCCACUUUGGACUAAAGACAUAUUAUUAAAAUCCUUAUUUAGUCAAAGCAGUUAUAAUGAUACUAAAUAAUAAUAAUAAUAAUAAAAUGGCAAAUUAAAUAAGGUAACUAAUAGUUGGACUUUGCUUAAAGGCCAUAAGUUCCUACUAAGUAAUAGGAUGUUGUAUGUGAACUUUUCCCCUCUGCUUCCAAUAUCUGCUCUGUCUUUUUUACUGUCUAAAAUUUUAAACAGCUAAAGCUUCAUUUUUUUGGUUAACUAAUUGUAUAUGGUCUUUCCUCUUUGUUCCAAAAUAAAUCAUUGGAAGUGUAUUUUUGUACAUGUUUUGUUCUUUAUUUUUUACUUUUACUAUCUUUCUUUUUGCAAUUUUGGAGAUGCCAAUUGAUAGGUAUGAUUUAAAAUUUGGGAAGUGAAAUGCUAUUACACUGUCGUAUUAUUCUGAAGAGCUAUUACAUUACGACAUUAUUCAUGAACUUACAAAUAAUUUCUCUUAUGUUUAUUUUCUUCUGGUGUUUGAUUGUCUUGUGAUUUUGUGAUGACCGCUUUAUAAUCCAGGUUCAGAUAUUAGCUAUUAGAAAAUCAGAAAGCCAGGUCUUCUAAAGUAAGAAAAGAAACAUUUUAUACAAAAAUAAUAAAGAACGUUGUUCGUAUGGUGAGACAUGGUCUUUCUGAAAAUCUUGAUCUUUUAGCCCAGUUAGUACAACAAUGUCACAAGAAAGAGUGCUCAAGAUGUGAGACUCUUCCUCAAUUUUCAUACAAGCCCUAUAACAACUGAUUGGCUUUUACUAGCUUUUUGAAGAUGCAUACGACAAUGCCUUCACGAAACUUCUUGAUGUAGCGUAUGCUAGACCUCGAUAAGAAUUUUUCAAUGCGUGUCUCAGACAAGACACUCAAGUUCUUCCAGCGGAAUCCAAGCUCCUUUAAUUUGCUGGACACACUUGAUAGCCAUUUGGGUGAGAACAUUGCUAUGGCACCCCACCAGUCUGAUCCGACGUGUUUGCAGUUGAGAGCCACAACACUCUGGCAUGUUUGGCAGAAAACGUUGGCCAUUAUAAGCACGGAAAUUGUUCCGAUACUUCCGAGAUUCUAAUUGUUCUGAAUUAGGAGAAUUUGUGGGAUACUACUCUGAAUUAGAUGUGUCCAGUUUUCCUGGUAGAGGACAAGACAAUAUGACAUGCUAGUAAAGUUCGUUGCCGUGUUUGAGGAGCUGGUCACGAUUUGGCGCAAUAAUCUGCAGGUAACUUGAUUUCAUAGUUUUUUUCUGAACCGCUUUGUUCAUGGUACUGUAAUUCUUCAGUGUACUGAUUGCAUUGCAACAUUAGCAUGGGCACUCAAAGUUGUCAAUUUUGCCGUGCAUGGUUUUGUGUAAAUAGAUGGACCUUGUCUAUGAUUGAAAGUGAAAUUUCAUUACUUUCUACAGAAGCUAAA